GGAAGAGGAAGAAGAAGAAGAAGAAGAAGAAGAAGAAGAAGAAGAAGAAGAAGAAGAAGAAGAAGAAGAAAUGUUUUCUGUUGAGAAGUGCUGUUGGUAUGGAUUAUUUAUUGACUCUUACCUAGAAAUCUUCAGAAUGCUGGUAUGUAUGGAAGAAACAGGUAGUUCUAAUAUCCUGCCUCUUUUCCUCCAGCUAUUUGGAUUUCCUGCAUCUCACUUCAGCACCCUUUAGGAAUGAAGAAUGCCAGCCUGACCAAAUCCAGAACUACACUUUCCUGGAAGCCUGGCUAAAAGUCCCAGACUGGCAAGGGGCAAGCAGCCAGCAGCGUGUGCGGGUGGCAGGCCUGUCAGUGGCCACCUCAGUGCCACCUGCUCUCACACAAAGUGAAGAAUGGAGCCACUCCGCUUCCCAGGUUAUUAAUCCAGUCACCUACAAAUUCAACUCUCUGCCCUUCAGAAGGUUCAGCUAUAAACCUUCUUGGAGUGCCAAUAUAACUUAGUUAUUAAGAAUGUGGACUUUGAAGUCAGAUCAAACUUGUUUCAAAUUCCAGCCCAGAGCUUUUGGGCUGGGUUACUUUGGAAAAGUUCUCUAACCUUUUUGAACUUCAGUUUCCUCCUCAGCAAAAAUAAUAAUAAUAAUAAAACGUACCCUACAACAUUGUUGGAGGAUUGGGUUGAAUAAUGAAUCAAAGUGUUAAGCAUAUACCUAGCAAAGAAAAUGAAGCUGGAGCCUGAGUUCAUCUCAGAGGUUGUAUACUCGCAUCCAAGAAGAGUACCCCUGUAGAAGGCAGUGGGGAGCUACAAAUAAAGAAAGACUUCAUCCCCUGUUACAUAAACCAAAGCUCUUUACUGGUGAGAAGAUAGCAAAAGCUGAAGCAGACACAGAAUCCACAAGUGGAAAAUACAGCAGUGCCAUUAAAGUUGCUGAGGGCCCGCUUUGCACCAGACACCAUUUUAAGGGAUAGAAGAGAAAACCUAAUGACAGUCUGAUUGCCGUCAAGAGGCUCACAUGUGAAAGGGAAUGAGGAGCUGCAACAAAUAGCACAAUGCGGUAAGUACUGUAAAGACGU